rnacentral:rRNA from 1 species
UACGUAGGGCGCAAGCGUUAUCCGGAAUUAUUGGGCGUAAAGAGCUCGUAGGCGGUUUGUCGCGUCUGCCGUGAAAGUCCGGGGCUCAACUCCGGAUCUGCGGUGGGUACGGGCAGACUAGAGUGAUGUAGGGGAGACUGGAAUUCCUGGUGUAGCGGUGAAAUUCGUAGAUAUCAGGAGGAACACCGGUGGCGAAGGCGGGUCUCUGGGCCGAUACUGACGCUGAGGAGCGAAAGCGUGGGGAGCGAACAGG